rnacentral:rRNA from 1 species
UACGUAGGGUGCGAGCGUUGUCCGGAAUUAUUGGGCGUAAAGAGCUCGUAGGCGGUCUGUCGCGUCGAAUGUGAAAACCCGGGGCUCAACUCCGGGCUUGCAUUCGAUACGGGCAGGCUAGAGUUCGGUAGGGGAGUCUGGAAUUCCUGGUGUAGCGGUGAAAUGCGCAGAUAUCAGGAGGAACACCGGUGGCGAAGGCGGGUCUCUGGGCAAUAACUGACGCUGAGGAGCGAAAGCGUGGGGAGCGAACAGG